rnacentral:tRNA from 1 species
UCCUGGGUAGCUCAACGGUAGAGCGGGUGGCUGUUAACCACCAGGUUGCAGGUUCGAAUCCUGCCCCAGGAGCCA